rnacentral:rRNA from 1 species
GACGGAAGGUGCAAGCGUUGCUCGGAAUCACUGGGCGUAAAGGGUGCGUAGGCGGCCGUGCAAGUCUGGCGUGAAAGCCCCGGGCUCAGCCCGGGAAGUGCGCUCGAAACUGCGCGGCUCGAGUGCCGGAGGGGAGAGUGGAAUUCCUGGUGUAGCGGUGAAAUGCGUAGAUAUCGGGAGGAACACCAGUGGCGAAGGCGACUUCCUGGCCUGUUCUUGACGCUGAGGCGCGAAAGCUAGGGGAGCAAACGGG